rnacentral:pre_miRNA from 1 species
CCUCAGGGCUUUUAUACUUGUUAGACUCUGGUUAGAGUACACUAAUCGGCUGGUACCUGAUCUGGCCAAAGCCUGACUUUAAACUGCUUAAA